GGGAGAGAGAAAGUGCUGGGAGCUGGGAACCUCCCCCCAAGUCCCCACAUCAGAAGAGGACACUUUGGGACCGACCCCCCCCAUCUCCCCCAGGGCCUUCAUCCUUUGGGGUGGCAGCAGUGCUCACGAGUGCCUGUUUCCCUCCCACCCGCGAGGGCACCGCUCCCGCUCCUCCAAGCCCUCCUCCCGCCUCCUUCCGCAGGUGCUGCAGGAGAAGGUUAAGCUGCGAUUGGGAAGACGGCUCUGUACAAGUGUGUGCAUACAAGUACAAGGGACUCUUUCUUUGUUGUGGCUGCAUACUCUUUCACCGUUUGGGAACUGUGUCAGAACUGAUUGAACUGAUCCCCUGCUCGUGGACAUUUAGGUUGUUUCCCGUCUUUUGUCAUUGCAAACAUGCUGCAUUAAAGA